ACAAACUUGAAGGUGGUCGCAAAAUUUCCAGUUGCUCAAGGAUUCGAAAACCUGAAAAAAAUCUUUCCAUCCAUUCUAGUUGUUCUCAAUCUCCAUCGAUCAAGAAUGUGUGAUCCGUGCAACGUACCCUGCGAUUCCAUCUGUGGACCAUCGAUUUGUCCACCAUGCGGACCCUGUGAUCCUUGCGGACCCUCUUGUGUACCCUGUGGUCCCUGCGGACCCUGCGGCCCGUGUGGACCGUGCGGUCCCUGUGGACCUUGUGGACCAUGUGAUCCUUGCGGCCCUUGUGGACCUUGCGGACCCUCCUGUGGACCUUGUGGUCCUUGUGGACCCUGCGGACCAUGCGGUCCGUGUGCGCCUUGCGGCCCUUGUGGACCAUGUGGUCCUUGUGGACCCUCCUGCGCACCGUGUGGACCUUGUGGCCCUUGCGGACCGUGCCGCCCGAUGAGUCUUUGCGAAUGCAUUGCCCGUCAGUACAGCCCCUACGGAUCCUUCUAGAACUGUACCCAGUGUGCUUCCUACAGAUCCUUCAAGAAGUGUUCUUCCGGCAAGCUUCAUCUUGUGCAAGAGAAACGAUUACACGGAAUAAAAUCUCAUAAAUUGCCACAUUUA
rnacentral:lncRNA from 1 species